rnacentral:lncRNA from 1 species
AGCAGCAGCUAAGGUUAACGUUAUUGUUGUCCAGAUGUUCCCUCCCUCUCACUGGAGGUCAGUAAAACAAUAAUCAGCUGCUCUAAGUUUAUCUGUACAAAUGUAUACUUCCAUGUAAACAGGAAGGAAAAGUGACACAGCGUUUGUGUAGUUUGGAUACUGCUUGUAGGGCUCCUGAGGACUACAAAAAACACUGCAGACAGACAGGAGGAGGACCAUGAUUUCUUCAAUCUGGUGACUGUCUUCAGGAUGUCCCUGCUUGCAGCACUCAUCAUUUCUAUGAUGUGUCCGGUUCCAUCGUACCCUCCUAUGUGCGCUGGAAGGAAAGGCUUUUGCAGAGCAUGGAGGAAGGCAUGAGAUAAGGAAAUUGUGCUUAUUAUACUGCUUCUCAUACCCUGAUCAUGUGUGCAAAUAUGUGCAUUUCCCGCACUUGCAUUUCUAGGGUGGUCAAAGAGAAUUCC